GGGGCGGAACCCGAAAAGCCUUACGAGUAGGGA
rnacentral:ncRNA from 1 species